rnacentral:tRNA from 1 species
GCAGUCAUGGCCGAGUGGUUAAGGCGUUAGACUAGAAAUUUAAUCCCCUCUUGGGUUGCAGGUUCGAAUCCAACUGACUGCG